rnacentral:rRNA from 1 species
UACGAAGGGGGCUAGCGUUGCUCGGAAUCACUGGGCGUAAAGGGUGCGUAGGCGGGUCUUUUAAGUCAGGGGUGAAAUCCUGGAGCUCAACUCCAGAACUGCCUUUGAUACUGAAGAUCUUGAGUUCGGGAGAGGUGAGUGGAACUGCGAGUGUAGAGGUGAAAUUCGUAGAUAUUCGCAAGAACACCGGUGGCGAAGGCGGCACUCUGGGCCGGUACUGACGCUGAGGAGCGAAAGCGUGGGGAGCGAACAGG